rnacentral:rRNA from 1 species
GACGAACGCUGGCGGCGUGCUUAACACAUGCAAGUCGAACGGAAAGGCCCUGCUUUUGUGGGGUGCUCGAGUGGCGAACGGGUGAGUAACACGUGAGUAACCUGCCCUUGACUUUGGGAUAACUUCAGGAAACUGGGGCUAAUACCGGAUAGGAGCUCCUGCUGCAUGGUGGGGGUUGGAAAGUUUCGGCGGUUGGGGAUGGACUCGCGGCUUAUCAGCUUGUUGGUGGGGUAGUGGCUUACCAAGGCUUUGACGGGUAGCCGGCCUGAGAGGGUGACAGGCCACAUUGGGACUGGGAUACGGCCCAGACUCCUACGGGGGGCAGCAGUGGGGAAUAUUGCAAAAUGGGCGGAAGCCUGAUGCAGCAACGCCGCGUGCGGGAUGACGGCCUUCGGGUAGUAAACGGCUUUCGCCUGUGACGAAGCGUGAGUGACGGUAAUGGGGAAAGAAGCACCGGCUAACUACGU